rnacentral:rRNA from 1 species
UACGUAGGGUGCAAGCGUUAAUCGGAAUUACUGGGCGUAAAGCGUGCGCAGGCGGUUGGGUGUGUCAGAUGUGAAAUCCCGAGGCUUAACCUCGGAACUGCGUCUGAAACUACUCGACUAGAGUACUGGAGAGGGAAACGGAAUUCACGGUGUAGCAGUGAAAUGCGUAGAUAUCGUGAGGAACACCAGAGGCGAAGGCGGUUUCCUGGACAGUUACUGACGCUCAGGCACGAAAGCAUGGGGAGCAAAAGGG